AAAUUCCAAUAUAAACUUAGACAUAAAAAUCGAAAAGAUAAUCCUCAUGAAUCCUGUUGGACUAUCACUUCCCUUUUCCCAAAGUUCUUAUCUUUAUUUAAAAAGCCAUACCCCAAUAAUAUUGCUAAAAAAAAACAACUUCUUACACAUCCAAGAUCAAUUAGAAGAGGGAAUAUGGAAGGUGGAGCAAUUACAACUAAGGAUAUGAAGGUGGAGAUUAAUUCAUCGACGGAGCCGGAAAAUAUAUCGCCACCAUCAGAAAAUGUAACGACGGGAGGAUUAGCAAGGCAAGGAAGUAUGUCCAAGAACAGUUGUCUUUGUUCUCCGACGACUCAUUCAGGCUCAUUCAGAUGUAGGCUUCAUCGUGCUCCGACGAUGACUAAUCCAAAUCUCCAGAGGACUAAAAGUAUUGAAUCAAAUCCUAAUAAGGCUAAUCCAAAUGCUUAUACGACUAGCUAGCAAUGGUGCUUAAUUAAUUCUAUAGUUCUAUGGUGUUACAAUAAAAAUUGGAUUAUGUCAUUUAUGUUGAAAUCUUGUAUUUUAAUUUAUGUAUGUAACGUUGCUUUCUAUUUGUUAUUAAUUAAUUAUAAUUAAGUUGAUCUAUUUGCUUUGUGUUUUCACUCAUAGAGACUUGAGUUCUUAUGAUGAAAGGUGGCUUGGAGUAUGCAUAUAAAUGUACUGAGAAUUUUUCCCUUUUGUGGUCUGUGGAUGUUAAAAGGGAAAUUUUGGGAAAUUAUAGAAAAGGACGCUUGUAUCGAGAUAUGUUAUUAGUGUUUAUUUAAGUAUGUAGAAUUUGAAGUCAAUUUGGCUUUGCUCUUUA